AAAGUCGUAACAAGGUUUCCGUAGGUGAACCUGCGGAAGGAUCAUUACAAAUCCACGAGUCACCCUAACCGGUCGACUACACCACAUACAACGUUGCACUCUCCCCCUCGGCGAUCACCCCCCACCCGUCUCUGACGAGCGGGCGGGUGGGCGCCUCGAGGACCUAUUUGACCCCUCUUGUUGACAACAAAUACCACGAAUGUACCAACAACAACAACAACCUAGAAACAACUUAUAACAAUGGAUCUCUAGGCUCUU
rnacentral:misc_RNA from 1 species